CGCGGGGUAGAGCAGCCUGGUAGCUCGCAGGGCCCAUAACCCUGAGGUCGUUGGUUCAAAUCCAACCCCCGCAA
rnacentral:tRNA from 1 species